rnacentral:rRNA from 1 species
ACGGAAGGCAGCAGUAGGGAAUCUUCCGCAAUGGACGAAAGUCUGACGGAGCAACGCCGCGUGAGUGAUGAAGGUUUUCGGAUCGUAAAACUCUGUUGUUAGGGAAGAACAAGUACGAGAGUAACUGCUCGUACCUUGACGGUACCUAACCAGAAAGCCACGGCUAACUACGUGCCAGCAGCCGCGGUAAUACGUAGGUGGCAAGCGUUGUCCGGAAUUAUUGGGCGUAAAGCGCGCGCAGGCGGUCCUUUAAGUCUGAUGUGAAAGCCCACGGCUUAACCGUGGAGGGUCAUUGGAAACUGGGGGACUUGAGUGCAGGAGAGAAGAGUGGAAUUCCACGUGUAGCGGUGAAAUGCGUAGAGAUGUGGAGGAACACCAGUGGCGAAGGCGACUCUUUGGCCUGUAACUGACGCUGAGGCGCGAAAGCGUGGGGAGCAAACAGGAUUAGAUACCCUGGUA